CCCACCCGUCCACGCACACAACACACCACACAACACACCCACGCAUCGAUCCAUGGCCGGCGCUGGCAACUGGCGAGCGGAGAGGCGGCGGCCGGCCCCUACCCCCGUCGCCAUGGCGUGGCCAACGCGUCGCCCGUCCCCUCCGCUGUGCCGACCCGGGGCGGCGUCGCCCCGGCGCGGCCGGCCCGUCGCCUCCGCUGCGCCGGCCUGUCGCGGCCUCCUAUCACCACCUCCCCGUCGAAGCGAGCUGGCCAUGGAGGUCGUUGACCCUACCACCGAUCGAGUUCCUGCCGUCGCGCGCGCGACCCUGUGGAUCCGGUCGACAUCGAGCAGCCACCGCCAGAUCUGAUGCGCGUGACCCCGCCGGACCUCCCUGCCUCGCCCCUCCGUGCGCGCCACCGGCCCUGCCUCGCCCAGCCACGUCGCCGGCCCUGCCUUGCCGAGGAGAAGACGAAGAUUCAAUUUCUUUUUUACAAAUUUAUGUAAGGUUCUUGCAAGAAACCAGGACUAAUUUAUUCUUUCUUUUUUUAUGUGGGGGUCUUUUAUGUAAA